ensembl:lncRNA
CACGGAAUUUUUCACUGGGAUGCUAGUGCUUCAGGUCCUGAUGCCAACAGACUAACCAAGGCUUCAGAGCAGUUGGGUUACCUAAAUCACUAAGUAGGCCCUCCCCCACUCUUUAUAUCCCCCACCAUCAACUCCCAUACAAUCCUCUGGUUCUCUGUUCCUCCCAGGUAGUAAGCAUUGUCCUCUCUUCCUCAUCUCAAAAUUUUAACAUUUUAGGGAAACCUUUUGCAAUUGUAAAGUUCAACCCAUUUGUGGGUGGUAAAAUCAGUUCCAUGGGCUGCAAUCAACGAUUUUUUUAAUGAGAUAGAAAAUAACAUUGCAUUGCACACAGUAAUUUGAAGUAUCAUUUUAUCUCAGUUAUGUAUAUACAGGUAAUAUGUACCUUUUACUGUGAGUCUCAGUCAAAAAUAGUUUAAAAACUGACUUGGCUACCUGUACAGAACCAGUUAUAAUCAUGUUUGAUUUUUUUUUUUACAUGUACUAUAGCACCUAGCACCCUGCCUUAACACAGAGAAAAUGUCUACUAAAUAUUCAUGGAAUAAAGGAAUGAAUGAAUUAAUGCAUGCAUGAAUAAAGUGCAUGGGAGCCAGAGUACGGAAGUAUUUCAAGAGAGAGAAAGCAGAUGUGGCACUCCUGGCCACCCCCAACACACAUACAAGAUAAAGGACGAGUGCACACAGAUGCACACAGAUGGCUCCCGUCCAGGCCACUCAGCGGCUGAAAGUGAAUGUGAUUCCUGCAUUCUCUCCAAGCAGAUCAUCAGUGAUGAAGCACGCAGUAAAUAACCCUCCCUCCCUUGAAGUGAAGACAGGCUGUGGGGGAGAACUGGCUCCAUUAAAGGCUUCAAGCCACAGGAGUCAUUUUCUCCGGAGAUGAUGAACGUGGGCUGGAAAGAGAGACAAGAGCCACCUACUUGAUGCAGCUUUUUACCCCAAGCUGCCAAAAGUCCUUUACUCUCAAAUACAUUCAUCAAGAGAGAGCUGGAAAUGGCAUCCCUUGCCAUAGAUCUGUGGUUUAUUGUUAUUGUUUUCACACAGUAUCUACUAAAAGCCUGCUGUAUACCCAGCCCAUAUGUAACUCACCAAAUUUUGAGCAUAUCUUUUUUUGACUGUGUCCAACUGUCCAGUUCUUUGUAAGAUCCUUGAGAAAGAGGAAUGAGCCUUUUCUUCUUUGUAGUUUUGGCCUCUCAGCCAAGGCCUGGCAAAGAGUGUACAUCAAUUAAUGUUGGUUGAAUGGAUGAAUAGAAAUGAAUGGAUGAGUGGGUGGGUGGAUGGAUGGAUGGAUGGAUGGAUGGACGGGUGGACCAAUCAGUCAAUAGGUCUCCCCACUUUUAAGCUCCUAUAUGUCAAAGUUCCCUGGCAUUGUGACUGUCACAUCAAUUAAGUUCCUGACAUCCAUCUGUUUGGAUGAUAAGCUUGGAGAAAUACCUGGGGACAGAGUUCCUUGCUUCUCUGAUGCCACAUGUGGAAUGUUCUUUGCCAAAUGCACUGUUUAUCACUGAACGCUACGCUUCCUGAUAUCUUAUUCCAUUUAUAGAUUCUGGCUCUGGAGUGUAAGAUUUUAUUUUUUGAAUUAAAAUGUGAUAAGAGACCUUUCGGUUCCCAGAGUUUCUUCUCUGUCUGUAGGUCAGAAGUUAUUGGCGAGAGUCCCAGUAUCUCCCUUGAGUUACUUGCAUGCGUCUGCUAACCAAAUCUUCUUAGCCUUCAAACCAAAUGAUGUCAUAUUCUUACGGUGCAUUUUUCUAGCAGGAGAUUUAUACUGACGUACGUGCACAUACUUUUAAUUUCCCACUGCUUACAGAACUCACAAACAAGUAAGCAAGUUGUAAUUCUGCAUGGUGAGUGCUUCACAUAAGUUUUUGGUGACAAGGUAGAUGAUAAAUGUUGGCUUUUAUUGAGCUGACAACUGGUAGCUGUAUGGUUUUGUGGCAUAUUAUAUGAUGUGAUAUGUAAUCACUGAUAGAAAGAUGUCUCAGUGAUAUAACACUUAUCACACACAUUUUUAUGAUAAUAAAUACUAUUUAUUAAAUACCAAAUGCCAGGCACCAUGCAAGAGUCCCACAUACAUUGGCUCAUUCAUUACACAUUACAGUACCAGGAAGGAAGAAAUGUUAUUUCCCUUCUGCUGAUGAAAUCAUUGAAUAUCAGAAAAAUGAAGUAUGAUUCUUAAAGACAUAUAACUAGCAAGUAGUGAGUUAGGACUUAUACCCAGAUCCAGCCUUUGUUUCUUCUAUUCCACCACAUGGAUUAGAUUGUUCUCAGAAAAACACAUUUCUCUUGCUUAUUUAUUUUGCUAUUACACAGGACAUUGUGGUA